GACGAACGCUGGCGGCGUGCUUAACACAUGCAAGUCGAACGGAAAGGCCCUGCUUUUGUGGGGUUCUCGAGUGGCGAACGGGUGAGUAACACGUGAGUAACCUGCCCUUGACUUUGGGAUAACUUCAGGAAACUGGGGCUAAUACCGGAUAGGAUCUCCUGCUGCAUGGUGGGGGUUGGAAAGUUUCGGCGGUUGGGGAUGGACUCGCGGCUUAUCAGCUUGUUGGUGGGGUAGUGGCUUACCAAGGCUUUGACGGGUAGCCGGCCUGAGAGGGUGACCGGCCACAUUGGGACUGAGAUACGGACCAGAAUCCUACGGGAGGCAGCAGUGGGGAAUAUUGCACAAUGGGCGGAAGCCUGAUGCAGCAACGCCGCGUGCGGGAUGACGGCCUUCGGGUUGUAAACCGCUUUCGCCUGUGACGAAGCGUGAGUGACGGUAAUGGGUAAAGAAGCAACGGCUAACUACGUG
rnacentral:rRNA from 1 species